AGCUGGUCUGCGAGCACUUAUUGGCAUGCAGACAUAACGGUGGGUAUCAUAUGGAGGAGAAGGCAGCAAAAGCUUAUGAUUUGGCUGCAUUGAAACAUAAUCAACAUGGAAGAUGGCAAGCAAGAAUUGGAAGAGUUUCAAGAAACAAAGACUUCUA